AUUGAACGCUGGCGGCAUGCCUUACACAUGCAAGUCGAACGGUAACGGGCCUUCGGGUGCCGACGAGUGGCGAACGGGUGAGUAAUACAUCGGAACGUGCCCGAUCGUGGGGGAUAACGAGGCGAAAGCUUUGCUAAUACCGCAUACGAUCUACGGAUGAAAGCAGGGGACCGCAAGGCCUUGCGCGGACGGAGCGGCCGAUGGCAGAUUAGAUAGUUGGUGGGAUAAAAGCUUACCAAGCCGACGAUCUGUAGCUGGUCUGAGAGGAUGAUCAGCCACACUGGGACUGAGACACGGCCCAGACUCCUACGGGAGGCAGCAGUGGGGAAUUUUGGACAAUGGGCGCAAGCCUGAUCCAGCCAUGCCGCGUGCAGGAUGAAGGCCUUCGGGUUGUAAACUGCUUUUGUACGGAACGAAAAGCCUUCUUUUAAUACAGGAGGGUCAUGACGGUACCGUAAGAAUAAGCACCGGCUAACUACGUG
rnacentral:rRNA from 1 species